UACGUAGGGUGCAAGCGUUAAUCGGAAUUACUGGGCGUAAAGCGUGCGCAGGCGGUUAUGCAAGACAGGGGGGAAAUCCCCGGGCUCAACCUGGGAACUGCCUUUGUGACUGCAUAGCUAGAGUACGGUAGAGGGGGAUGGAAUUCCGCGUGUAGCAGUGAAAUGCGUAGAUAUGCGGAGGAACACCGAUGGCGAAGGCAAUCCCCUGGACCUGUACUGACGCUCAUGCACGAAAGCGUGGGGAGCAAACAGG
rnacentral:rRNA from 1 species